rnacentral:ncRNA from 1 species
GAGCCUACGGCGUAAUUUGACUCAACACAGGGAAACUUAUCAAGUCGGCACAGUAAGGAUUGACAAACUGAGAGCUCUUUCUUGAUUCUAUUAGUGGUGGUGCAUGAUUGUUAAGUUGGUGGAGCAAUUUGUCUGGAUUAUUUCGUUAACAAACAAGACCUCAGCUUGUUAAAUAGCUGUUCAAAUAUCCUAACUAUGAUCAUUGUUAUUAUAAUUAUUUUUGUUAUUACGGUUUUCAUAAUUACUUCUUGUAUCAUAAACAAUAGGUCUCUAUUUAUACACCUCAUGCUUUUUUAUACAAGUAUUUGUUCACGUGUAUUA